CUUCUCCCAUCAAGACACACCCUCCCUUCCAGGAAGACCCUUGGGAACAAUUUACCUGAGCUGUAAAUUAAAGAGGAGAUGACAAUCCAGAGUCUGUUUUAGAGAAAAUGUCUGAAGACCCAGAGGAAAUGUAGGCAACUCAGUCAGUCAGCAUCCCAAAUAUCACUGCCUCUAUUCAAUCAAAUCCACCCCUUUCCGUGAUGUAUUCUCUAAUACCUAAUGUAGGGAGACUGGAGUCAGAAGCCCUUGGAAAAACUACAUACAUUCUUAUGUCUAUUUCUAUAAUAACUAUAUAGAAGAAGAAGUUAUAAGAUUGCUGAUAAGCAGGCACUUUGCUGCUAGCUCUUCAUACUUGAUAAUAAUUUAAUAGACAA